rnacentral:misc_RNA from 1 species
GAUGAAGAACGUAGCGAAAUGCGAUAAGUAGUGUGAAUUGCAGAAUUCAGUGAAUCAUCGAAUCUUUGAACGCACAUUGCGCCUCCUGGUAUUCCGGGAGGCAUGCCUGUUCGAGCGUCAUUAAAAUCACUCAAGCUUAGGUUUACCUAUUGCUUGGUCUUGGAGAUGGAAGCCAAUUUAUUGGAAUCCUCUUCGAAAUUCAAUGGCGAAGACCCUUGCUCUCCCAAGUGUAGUAAUAACUUAUGUCACUGAAGGAAGCGAGAAAUCUUCUGCCGUAACCCCCAUAUUUUCUAUGAUUGACCUCGGAUCAGGUAGGGAUACCCGCUGAACUUAAGCAUAUCAAUAAGGAGGA